CAUGCACUGGCCCAGCAGGUUAAAGACUCAACUCCGCACUCUGCUGGCUGGAAGGCCCCUCCCCAACUUUCUGGAGCCAGACAACAGCUGGCUAUCUCCAUGUGACUCUCUCAUGUGACUCUCUCUGCCUGUGCCACCUCCUACCUCCAUCCCCACAAGAGCUUUCUUGUCAGACCUCUUCAGCAUACCCAUGCCCUAGAUGGGAGAGAGGAGCCAUCUGGUAACAAAGCUCACAAGCUACUGCCUACUGCUGCUGUGGGGCCCAACCAGAGGGCUCUGGCCUCACUCCUCCAGGACAGGCACAGGGGCUGGCUGAUCUGACCUCAAAAUCCAAAUGAUCUAGUUUCAGAUGCUAAAUGAUGAAGUGAGACUGAAGGAAAUUAUCCUCUAAGGCCAAGGAACCCAAAAUAUAAAUUCUAAUUUUGUUUCUCUUGCCUUCAUAGGAAGUCAACUCUGAGAGGGAAGCAGCCAUCCUUUCUCAGCAACUGGGCCAGAUGGAGAAUCACUUGUAAACAGUGUCCCAUAUACCCAGCACCUCCCCUACUGGAGACCAGCUACUUGGAGACCUAGGGCUGAGGGUGCUAAGGUGACCUAACAUAUUCAGGGCCUGGCCAGGGGCAGCAUGGCUAACUCCUGGAGCUAAAAUAUAGAUCUUCUAGGACCUAUCUGCUCAAUGACUAGACCAAAUACUGGGGACAAGUAUGCUGACAACUUGCUUCAAAAUCUAAAUUAGUAAAAAUUUGCCGAGAGACUUUACCCAGGCAGCCAUUCACCAUCUAUCAUACAUCCAGUUAUCCAUCUGUCUACCCAUCCAUCCUUCCAUUCUCUUGCUAACCAGGCAGACACCUUCCUUCCACCAUUUAUCCUCCCAUCCAUCGGCAGCCCAACCUCCUUUUUCUUUCUUCCUCCUCCUCCCAGUGGCUAAACUUCCCUACCUGUCUGCAUGAGCAAGGCUCUGCCCUAAGGUGCUGUACCACAACUGAAUUCGAGUCCCACAGACUAUCACAACCUCUCUGUCCCUAUGGCCCUUGCUGUAGCUCAGGCCUUCACCCCUUCCCUGGGUUAUUCCAGUCUCCUGACUGUUCCUCCAGUCUGUGUGCCCUUGAGCCGGCCCUGCACUUGGUCCCGAAGUGAGCUUUGAAUAGCUUAAACCUAAAACCUUGCCUGCUUCAAUUUCUACAGUGGCUCUCAUUGGCUCUCAAGUUAGUCUACUAUUCCUAUCACCAACCUCUACUCCUCACCCUUCCAGCCUCUCUUCAGACACACAGAAUAUUGAGCAAACAUUUAGCUUCCUGGCUGCUCCAACACUCCUUCCCCUCCCCACCCCUUGGUUCAUUCAUUCAACUGAGGUCCUUGUCUACACCCGGCCCGAAGGGCAAUAGGAAGAGCAAGACAGACUUAGUCCCUCACCCCAAGGAGCCUACAGUCAGGUGGGACCUAAUAUGUUAAUCACAUAAUAGGUUGAUUACAACAGAGGAAGUUCAUGGGACUAAGUAACUAUGGCCUCAUUUAGUCUGAUGGGAUCCAGAAGGCUGCCCUGAGGACAGAUCACCUCAGCUGAGACCUGGAGAGGAACAGACAAGAGGCAGGCACCUGGAGACCAGAUUGAACGAUGCAUGGCUCUGCUCCCGGACAACUUGGCCAGCCUCUGCACUCACACACUGGCCCAGUCAGCACUUUGGGGGCCCAGCCCCCUGAUUGCGCUGAAGAUGUAAACACAGAUGAGACCAGGCUCCUGCUUUCUGGGGGCCCAGACAGGGCAGUGGGUAAACGGGUCCUGCAAGGGCCACCCAUUCAGUGUAACAGAACACAGGGUGGAUGGGGGAAGGGCGGGCGUGUGCAAGGGAUGGAGCCAGAGAGAGUUGAGUCCUGAGAAGCUGCAGGGUCAGAUUCCAUGGGGCCUAGGAGGCUUAGUACCCAAGGAAGCUUGGGUACUACUAAAGAGGCCACCAGGAGUCAAAGGAACUUUAAAGCAGGGGAAUCACAUAAAGGUGGUGGGUGUUUUACAAAAUUUCUAGUCCUAGUGGGGAAGAGGGCAUGAGCAAGAGGGGAAAGGGUGGGCCUGGGAAGGCAGCCGCCUUAUGCUUGGGGAGGAACUGGUCAGGAGAUAGAGGUCAAGCCACAAGGUCCCUUAGACUACCCAAUGCCCCAGCUACAUCUCUGGUGGGCUGAGAGGAAUAUAUGAGCCUUAGUAAAAGACUUUUCAUGUACCUUCUGCAGUCACAGAAACUGGUGGAGAUGGAGGCACGACAAGAGUGAAGAGUGAAGAGGCCCCAUGGAGUGUUAUGGGCAAAGGUCCCCACCGCCUGGGCCCCAUUGUGCUACCAUGCGGACCAAAUGUGGGCUCCAGAGACCUGUACCACGCCUGACAAGCAAGGAAAUCCCGCCUAACGACCAUGCAAAAAGAAUGUCCGGUUUUAGUUCAAUGCUUUCUCACUCUCCAAAGCAAUUCUGAAUGGUUCAUCUGCAAAGCUGUGAGGAACAGUCUUGUCAAAGCUGGAACCGGAUCACCAGGCAGCACACCAGAGGAGCCGCUGGGCAGCACCUUGGUCCAGUCCUCAGCCAAAGGCAAGCUUUGCUUCCCAUGACUCCAGAACCCAAAGGGAAGGUACACACCACGGGAUGGUUUUGCUCACAGCCAUCUUGCUUUUUGUUAAGAAAAGCUAGAGGAUUUAUGGUUGCCACCGGAAUGAUUUUCCAUGGAUACUUCUUACCAUAUUUUCAUCUUUUUCCCCCCCCGGAUCUGCUUUUAAAAUAAUUUUCACUAAGAUUUAACAGAUGCCCAAUUUCAAUCUAAACAGGAGCUGGAGAAAAAUGUGGCAUGGUGCACACUGUUUUACGAUGUGAAAAGUCAUUCACAGAAGAAGUUUGGGGGCAGAUACUUUGUUUACAAAAAUUCCUCAUAGGUGUCAGAGAAGUCACUUGCCUUAAAAUUCUGGGAAGUGGCACCAGUUUGACUAAAAGAUGCACAUCAUAACAAGGCCCAGAAAAUAAACUGGAACUUCAAGCUGUUCUCCUAGUCUUUGCCAAUCACUGUUCUGAGAUCUAGCUGGGCUCCUCGCAUAAACAACAUGCAGAAGUUUGAUGCUAGAGCAAGAAAAGCCUGAAACCUCAAUCAUUCCUGAGUUGACAUGGUCCGAAAACAUUGUCUGUACCAUUCUCCUCCUGAAGCAACCACUGCAAACAGUUUGGGGUUCAAGUGCAGUCAGGGAAAGGGGACAAGAAGGGUGGAGUAACAUGGAGUGAAAACAAGGCCACUGAGGAGCCAAGGGUUGUUGAUUUUAACCAGGAAUUCAACUCACAUGAUUGUAGGAGCAAGCCCUAAGGAACACCCACCAAGAAACAGUCGUUAAGAACAAAGUUGUGUCAAAACAAAGGAAGAAAAACAAAAGGAAAAAAAAAAACCAAACCUGGCUAAUUAAGCACCAAUGUUGCCUUUACUGCAGCUUGUGUGAUUAUCUGUUUACAAACCCAUCUCCCACAGCGAACCACCAGUUCCACAAAAGCAGAGACCACCCUUCACCUAUCUCUAAAUCCAACUCUCCUUCAAUAAGAAAAAUUACAGCAUUUCUUACCAUCUCUGCUGCCAUCACCCUAAUCCAAGCCUCCAUCAUUACUCCCCUAUCGUUUCAGUGAUAAUACUACCAUUUAGAGGGUACUUUUUCUGUGUGGGGGCACUGCUUUAACUGCUUUGACAGAAUUCAUUUAUAAACCCUCACAACUCAGAGAGCUCAGAGACCUCCUCCAUCACUGGUCUCCAUGGGCUGAUCCAUCACUUUGUCUCUCAUAAACAACAUGCGGAACAACAUCUCCCUUUCACAGAUGAAGACACUGGGUCUCAGAGGGACUAACUUCUAGGAGACACAGCUAGCCUGGCAGAAUUAGGAUGGCCCUCAACUGACUUAGUGUGUGGUCAUAAGGCGCUGCCUACAGCAGCCAGAGGAAGGUGAGCGUUUCAAAAUUUCAGACUCUUCCAAACUUUUCAACGGUUUCCUCCCGCGGCUGGUAUAAAAUUGAAACCCCCAUUACACCCUGCAAUGCUCCCCUCCCCCUUUCUAUUCCUUAAUGGUACUUUGCUGUCCCUGGACCUUUGCAUUUGCUUUUCCCUCUUCCACAAACACCCUUACCCUACUUACAAUGCUGGUUUCUUUUCAACCUUCAGGUCUUAGCUUCAAAGUCACGUUUUACAGCAGACCCUGCCUGACCACCACCCCCGCCCCCUCCAUUACAUCACCAGAGCACUUAUCUCGACCUAAAAUCACUUUUGUCUUCUAUCUGGUGCCAGCACACACACACACACCCCACCCGCAAAUACUCUGUGGGUUCUGGAGAUAGCCGUUUCUUGGAGUCCUCCGUGGCCUGGCGUCUGGCACACAGUAGGCGCUCAACGCAGAUAUGUGAACCUGAUGAAUGCUGGAAGGAAGCCCCGCGCUCUGGCCGGUCCCUGGAGUCCAAGCCACGGGCUCCAGGCCCAGAUAAUAUCUUACUGUGAGCUCCCAUCCUCCAGGCUGGUAGGAAAUGCAGUCUUAGCCUCCACUGGGCUCUUCUUACCCAGGUUAUUCCAAGGACUCAGGAUCUCCUGCAGCAGCAGUCUGAGAAGUCACAAGCCCUCUCUGGUGCUGAGGCCUCGGCCAUUGUCCCAAUCACAGGACUUCCAGGGUCGGGCUCUGAGGGGCCAUGCCUGCUGCCCCAAGAUUGCCAGGGACAGGGGCACGUGAGUGGCUCAGUCAGGCCUGAUAAACUCAAACUCGGUGUGGAAUAAAUAUCACUGCUACUCUGGCCUCAGAAAUACAAGAUGAUUUCUCUUGUUAAGAUGUCAAUCAAGAUGACUCUUUACCUGGAAUUGAAGGACCUUAGGGUCCAACAGAGAUGAUGACCCAGAAAUCAAGGUAGAGGAUGAGCCCAUUUAUGCCCAUAGGGAAGGGAGAGAAUCUGAGAGUCACAGCCAUCUAGGCCCUGGGUCCACCUACCUCCCAGGCAUGUCUCCUGGAUGUCCCAUGGGCAUAUAAAUGCAACAUAUCCCUAUAUACCCUUUCUGUCUCUGCCACAAAGUUGUUCCUUCACUCACGCCCUCCAAAGGGCACCACUAACUACCCAGUCUCCUCCUGGUCUUUGCCCAUCUAAACCAGAUAGUUCCCAAGACUAGGCAGCAUGUCCAGUGUCCAUUCCUCCCACUCCACUCCAGUCCGGACCACCAGCAUCUUACUUGCUGAUUCUGCCCUAGCUUCCUAACAACUGCCUGCCUACAUCCAGACCAUUCUUCUCCCAGUUGCUGGGCUUAUCAUUCUCUCCAUAUUUUUUUAAAGAUUUUAUUUUGGGGGCGCCUGGGUGGCUCAGUUGUUAAGAAUCUACCUUUCGCUCAGGUAAUGAUCCCAGGGUCCUGGGAUGGAGCUCCACGUCAGGCUCCCUGCUUGGCGGGAAGCCUGCUUCUCCUCCUCCCACUCCCCCUGCUUGUAUUCCCUCUCUCGC